UGGGGGAUAUUGCACAAUGGGCGAAAGCCUGAUGCAGCGAAGCCGCGUGGGGGAUGAAGGCCUUCGGGUUGUAAACUUCUUUUGCUCUGAACAAGGCAUGCUAAUGGGUGUGUUGAGUGUAGGGGUUGAUUAGCGCCGGCUAACUACGUGCCAGCAGCCGCGGUAAUACGUAGGGCGCGAGCGUUUUCCGGAAUUAUUGGGCGUAAAGGGCUUGUAGGUGGCUGGUUGCGUCUGUCGUGAAAGCUCAUGGCUUAACUGUGGGUUUGCGGUGGGUACUGGCUGGCUUGAGUGCAGUAGGGGAGGGUGGGAUUCCUGGUGUAGCGGUGGAAUGCGCAGAUAUCAGGAGGAAUACCGGUGGAGAAGGCGGGUCUCUGGGCUGUUACUGACACUGAGGAGCGAAAGCAUGGGGAGCGAACAGG
rnacentral:rRNA from 1 species